CCUACGGGAGACAGCAGUGGGGAAUAUUGGGCAAUGGGCGCAAGCCUGACCCAGCAACGCCGCGUGAAGGAAGACGGCUUUAGGGUUUUAAACUUCUUUUUUCAGGGACGAAGCACGUGACGGUACCUGAGGAAUAAGCCACGGCUAACUACGUGCCAGCAGCCGCGGUAAUACGUAGGUCGCAAGCGUUAUCCGGAUUUAAUGGGUGUAAUGGGCGUGUAGGCGGGACUGCAAGUUAGAUGUGAAAACCACGGGCUCAACCUGGGGCCUGCAUUUGAAACUGUAGUUCUUGAGUACUGGGGAGGCAGACGGAAUUCCUAGUGUAGCGGUGAAAUGCGUAGAUAUUAGGAGGAACACCAGUGGCGAAGGCGGUCUGCUGGACAGCAACUGACGCUGAGGCGCGAAAGCGUGGGGAGCAAACAGGAUUAGAUACCCGUGUAGUC
rnacentral:rRNA from 1 species